rnacentral:lncRNA from 1 species
CAUUUGCUGUCUUCCACUGUCUUCACUUUCAAGCUGAAAGCAAAAUAUCUCCCCUUGCUGUAAUCCAGUGCUAGUCCUGAAGGACCUCAGAACUUCUCACCUACUGGCUUCUUUGCAGUAUAUGAAUGCAAGGCAUACUGAACAUGUAUUUUCUAUGUAAGAACAUUAUUUCAGAUGACUGUUUGGCAAAGAAAAUGUUUCAGGAUAGGAAAAAACAGACUAGCUUGAAAAUGCUGCCAAAAGCACCGAAUCUUUUUUGAGGGCAGACACUUUGGAUGCUUCAGCUGGCAGAAAACCACUGAGGGAUAUUUUUCAAAACAUAAAGUACUGUCCUUUUGAAACUGCCCAGUUCUUUAGAAGAAUGUAAAGUGUAUUCACAGGAUACUGGAACCCAGCCACCUAACACUGCUAGAGUAGGAACAGUUCUUGCAAAUCAGAAUUGGACUUUAUUUUAAUAGUACUAAUAAAAUGGACUGAAGGAAACUCUUGCAUUUGAGUAGGAGUUUAUUUUUAGGUAACUCAGUGGCUAAAAAUAGAAUUUCUAUACAUAGGAACCACAUUUUGCCUCUGGUGUGGGUGUUUCUGUCUCACUGGACUUGGAUGUGACUACUGGUGACAGAUGAAUUGUCAGUUCUGUGCUCAUGGGAAGCCACACUUGCAUCGCUUUGGAAGCUUAGCAAUGAGCUGGUGGAAUGCCGAACCCAGUCUGAGACAUAAACUCAGAGAAAAUAAGUAUUUAUCCAUGCGUGGUAUGGGCACCAAAUCUGUAGGCGUUCUCUGAAUUGUGUUUAGAAUGUGGCGCCCUUGCUGACUGCCACCUCUUGGGGCUUUUAGAAGUGUUCCUUAAUGAAUUAUAUAAAAGUCUGAAAGUCUGCCCUUCCCCCCCCCCCCCCCCUUUUUUUUUUCCAUAUUUUUGUUCAUGCCUUUCCUUUCCUUGCACCUCUCUGUGAGAAACGUUCAAAUGGACUUGGGGAGAGGAACAGCAAUGUGGGCCAUUGGACUAGUGAACCAGAACAGUGGUAAAUCUUUUGUUUAUAAAGCAUCUUCUAGACCAGCAAGUUUUACCAGCUGUUUAACAACCCAGUAGAAGGAACUGUAUUUGUGCUGAGAGGACACAGAUGGAUGGAGCAGCUAUGCUGGAGCAGUUUUGGGCAAAGACCACCAAAGCACAGAGGCUUCUAAUGUAAAAGCUACCCCAUGACUUCAAAGCUCCAGUUUCAACUCCUGUGUGCAGAAGACUGCUGUGUGCCCUUAUACAUCUUCAGGGCACCUACCACCUUGGACUUAACAGCAACACUAACAUGUACUGUUUGAUUUGGACAAUUUAUUUUUGCCAAAUUGGUCCCCUGAACAAACCCAAAAAAAGGAGUGAAAAAGUGUUUUUCUUAUAGAUAUAGAUUUUUAGUUCAUAAGAUAUAAUUAAAUCUGUGUUAUCUUAGUGUAAGUGAGUCUAUAUGUCUUUGUAGAAUCAAAUUGGCCUGCAGCUGGCCAAAGCUACUCAUCCUAAUUGUCUGUUCUGGAGUAAUUCUGGAUUUAGGUUUGGAAGAGCCCAGUGACUAACAGAUAUUUGAAGGGGAGGUUGUUGUU